rnacentral:rRNA from 1 species
AGUGGCAGACGAGCGAGUAAUAUGCACUUAACUUGCCCUUGAGAUGAGAACAACUAUGGAGACAUAGCUAAUUCUCAAUAUGCUCACGAUGGUGAAAUCCCAAUGUGAGGAAAGAUUUAUCGCUCAAGGAGAGGGGUGUAUCCUAUCAGGUAGUUGGUAAGGUAACGGCUUACCAAGCCUAUGACGGGUAGCCGGUUUGAGAUGAUGAUCGGCCGCGAUGGGACUGAGACACGGCCCAUACUCCUACGGGAGGCAGCAGUGGGGAAUAUUGCACAAUGGACGAAAGUCUGAUGCAGCGAUUCUGCGUGGAGGAUGAAGCAUUACGGUGUGUAAACUCCUUUUCUGGUAGAAGACGAAUGACGGUAUACCAGGAAUAAGGGACGGCUAACUAUGUGCCAGCAGCCGCGGUAAUACAUAGGUCCCAAGCGUUAUCCGGAUUUACUGGGCGUAAAGAGUCUGUAGCCGGAUAUAUAAGUCUGUUUUCAAAUACUCCGACUCAAUCGGAGAAAGGGGAUAGAUACUGUAUAUCUGGAAGUUAUUGGGGGUUAGUGGAAUUUCCGGUGGAGCGGUGAAAUGCGUUGAUAUCGGAAAGAACGCCGAAAGUGAAAACAGCUAACUACAAUAAACUUGACGGUCAAAGACGAAAGCUUGGGGAGCAAACGGGAUUAGAUACCCCGGUAGUCCAAGCUGUAAAUUAUGUUCACUCGCUGUUUGCGAUAUACUGUAAGCGGCUAAGCGAAAGCAUAAGUGACCCACCUGGGGAGUACGAUCGCAAGGUGNAAACUCAAAGGAAUUGACGGGGGCCCGCACAAGCGGUGGAGCAUGUGGUUUAAUUCGAUGAUACGCGAGGAACCUUACCCGGGCUUGAAAUGCAUUUGACCGACUCAGAAAAGGGUCUUCCCUUCGGGGCAAAUGUGUAGGUGCUGCAUGGUUGUCGUCAGCUCGUGCCGUGAGGUGUCGGCUUAAGUGCCAUAACGAGCGCAACCCUCAUCAUUAGUUACUAACAGGUUAAGCUGAGGACUCUAGUGAGACUGCCAUCGUAAGAUGCGAGGAAGGUGGGGAUGACGUCAAAUCAGCACGGCCCUUAUGUCCGGGGCGACACACGUGUUACAAUGGAUGGUACAACAGGCAGCUACUUGGCGACAAGAUGCUAAUCCCGAAAACCAUUCUCAGUUCGGAUCGAAGUCUGCAACUCGACUUCGUGAAGCUGGAUUCGCUAGUAAUCGCGCAUCAGCCAUGGCGCGGUGAAUACGUUCCCGGGCCUUGCACUCACCGCCCGUCA